rnacentral:rRNA from 1 species
CCAGACUCCUACGGGAGGCAGCAGUGGGGGAUAUUGCACAAUGGGGGGAACCCUGAUGCAGCGACGCCGCGUGGGUGAAGGAGUGCUUCGGCAUGUAAAGCCCUAUCGGCAGGGAAGAAGCAAGACGGUACCUGACUAAGAAGCCCCGGCUAACUACGUGCCAGCAGCCGCGGUAAUACGUAGGGGGCGAGCGUUAUCCGGAUUCACUGGGUGUAAAGGGAGCGUAGACGGCAGCGCAAGUCUGGAGUGAAAUGCCGGGGCCCAACCCCGGAACUGCUUUGGAAACUGUGCAGCUAGAGUGCGGGAGAGGUAAGCGGAAUUCCUAGUGUAGCGGUGAAAUGCGUAGAUAUUAGGAGGAACACCAGUGGCGAAGGCGGCUUACUGGACCGUAACUGACGUUGAGGCUCGAAAGCGUGGGGGGCAAACAGGAUUAGAUACCCGAGUAA